rnacentral:misc_RNA from 1 species
AAACGGCGAACUACCCAAUGUGAAAAGCACCGACCAGAAAAUCCACCACCGGAGUAUAAUCACUAGUGACCCAUAUGUUGCUGUGUGUGCACCCCAUACCGCUCUUGCUCGUACACGUGUUAUACCCAAUUCACAAAACCCUGUUUGGGAUGAGCAUUUCCGUAUCCCUUUAGCACACCCUAUGGACUGCUUGGAUUUUCGUGUUAAAGAUGAUGAUGUUUUCGGUGCUCAAGUUAUGGGUAAAGUUACAAUCCCGGCGGAAAAGAU